rnacentral:rRNA from 1 species
GACGAACGCUGGCGGCGUGCCUAAUACAUGCAAGUCGAACGAACCGCGACUAGGUGCUUGCACUUGGUCAAGGUGAGUGGCGAUCGGGUGAGUAACACGUGGGUAACCUACCUCAUAGUGGGGGAUAACAGUCGGAAACGACUGCUAAUACCGCAUAGGACAUAGGAUCACAUGAUCCAGUGAGGAAAGGUGGCGCAAGCUAUCGCUAAGAGAUGGACCCGCGGUGCAUUAGCUAGUUGGUAGGGUAAAGGCCUACCAAGGCGAUGAUGCAUAGCCGGCCUGAGAGGGUGACCGGCCACAUUGGGACUGAGACACGGCCCAAACUCCUACGGGAGGCAGCAGUAGGGAAUCUUCCGCAAUGGACGCAAGUCUGACGGAGCAACGCCGCGUGAGUGAAGAAGGUCUUCGGAUCGUAAAGCUCUGUUGUUAGAGAAGAACAGCGCAUAGAGUAACUGUUAUGCGUGUGACGGUAUCUAACCAGAAAGCCACGGCUAACUACGUG